UACGGGGGGGGCAAGCGUUAUUCGGAUUUACUGGGCGUAAAGGGCGCGUAGGCGGCCAGCACAAGUCAGUUGUGAAAUCUCCGGGCUUAACUCGGAAAGGUCAACUGAUACUGUGCGGCUAGAGUGCAGAAGGGGCAACUGGAAUUCUCGGUGUAGCGGUGAAAUGCGUAGAUAUCGAGAGGAACACCUGCGGCGAAGGCGGGUUGCUGGGCUGACACUGACGCUGAUGCGCGAAAGCCAGGGGAGCGAACGGG
rnacentral:rRNA from 1 species